GCGGCCGUAGCUCAGGGGAUAGAGCAUCUCCCUCCUAAGGAGAGGGUCGAAGGUUCGAGUCCUUCCGGCCGCA
rnacentral:tRNA from 1 species